UUUAGAAACACGAUACACAAAGCAAGUCAGAGAUUUGGAUAUAUGUACAUAUAGAAAUGAUCUCGUAUGAGGUGGGAGUUUUGUUUUCAGCCAUGGACGAUGAGUCGUUUGCCGCAAGUGGAACAGAGAUGACGACGUUUGGAUUUAUUAGAGAGAGGAACGAAGCAGAAUCUCCACUGGCUAUUUACGUCAACCACUUGAACCGCUCCUCCGCAGUACGGACACGCUCCAGGAGCUGCGUACCUUCCGAUCACCCUCUCGUCCUGAUCACACACGAACACCAAACACAUCCUUCUUCUUCUUCUCUUCUAGACAAUGAAAACAAAUGGAACCGUUCUUAGUUUUUUGUUUCCGCGUUAAAAAGGGUUGUAGUUUUGAUGAUAUUUAUAAGGAUGAGAUUGAGACUCCAUGGAAUUUAGGAUAUUUCAUAUUUUGUUUCCG